UCGGGAAUUUUGGGCAAUGGGGGAAACCCUGACCCAGCAGCGCCGCGUGAAGGAUGAAGUAUUUCGGUAUGUAAACUUCGAAAGAAUAGGAAGAAUAAAUGACGGUACUAUUUAUAAGGUCCGGCUAACUACGUGCCAGCAGCCGCGGUAAUACGUAGGGACCAAGCGUUGUUCGGAUUUACUGGGCGUAAAGGGCGCGUAGGCGGCAUGACAAGUCACUUGUGAAAUCUCUGGGCUUAACCCAGAACGGCCAAGUGAUACUGUCGCGCUAGAGUGCAGAAGGGGCAAUCGGAAUUCUUGGUGUAGCGGUGAAAUGCGUAGAUAUCAAGAGGAACACCUGAGGUGAAGACGGGUUGCUGGGCUGACACUGACGCUGAGGCGCGAAAGCCAGGGGAGCAAACGGGAUUAGAUACCCAGGUAGUCCCUGAGCGGGCUGGCAAGGCGCAU
rnacentral:rRNA from 1 species